ACCUUCGCGGAAACCGGCACCUAAUACCGGAUAACAUAUUGAACCGCAUGGUUCAAUAGUGAAAGGCGGCUUUGCUGUCACUUAUAGAUGGAUCCGCGCCGUAUUAGCUAGUUGGUAAGGUAACGGCUUACCAAGGCAACGAUACGUAGCCGACCUGAGAGGGUGAUCGGCCACACUGGAACUGAGACACGGUCCAGACUCCUACGGGAGGCAGCAGUAGGGAAUCUUCCGCAAUGGGCGAAAGCCUGACGGAGCAACGCCGCGUGAGUGAUGAAGGUCUUCGGAUCGUAAAACUCUGUUAUCAGGGAAGAACAAAUGUGUAAGUAACUGUGCACAUCUUGACGGUACCUGAUCAGAAAGCCACGGCUAACUACGUGCCACAGCCGCGGUAAUACGUAGGUGGCAAGCGUUAUCCGGAAUUAUUGGGCGUAAAGCGCGCGUAGGCGGUUUUUUAAGUCUGAUGUGAAAGCCCACGGCUCAACCGUGGAGGGUCAUUGGAAACUGGAAAACUUGAGUGCAGAAGAGGAAAGUGGAAUUCCAUGUGUAGCGGUGAAAUGCGCAGAGAUAUGGAGGAACACCAGUGGCGAGGCGACUUCUGGU
rnacentral:rRNA from 1 species